CCGUCUUCUACUAACAGAGCAUUGCCGUCUUCAAGUUACAGAUGACAUCGUCUCCGAUUCCAACUAUGUAACGUCUGUUAUUGACAAUUAUUAGGUAACCGCCGGAAUCUUCACCUAUAAAUGUGUUUUCAGCCAACGAUGAACGGCAUCCCAUAUACGAAAUCUGAAAACACGAUCCCUGCUACUCACCAACUCAACAAUGGCGCAAUCCUCUAUCUUACCUGGCGAUUUGAAAGCUAGCCACUGUACAAAUGCCACCAAGGUCCGUCUUCUGAGGUUUAGGGAGGCCAGGAAUGUGAAGAAUGGGCGAGAGUUAAUAGGUGUCGACAUGCUACGGCUUGACGAGAAUUUGACCCUUAUCCAAUGGUCCGUCAGUGCCAACCGUCUUAGCCCUUUCCUUGGCGUUCAGUGUAGGAUCAUUUUAAACGUUCAGCAGUUUCGACGUCACAAGGAGCAACAACAACUUCACAAGGAGCAACAACAAGUUCCGUCUGUCUGAGACUCCCCUCUCCAUACGCUUCAAUGAUGGGACGUCUUUUGUAGAGCUAACCGAUUCGGUGAAAUAAAUACCAACUGAACUGUUACGAUUUCGUAGACCAGCUACGUGCAUUGGCGAACACCACCAGACAACUACCUGGUAUGUUUUUAAUCUUCUUUAUCUUUCUUGUCGUUUAAGAAUCCUACGUCUGUCUAUAUUAAGGUCCUGCUACGUUUUAAUUUUCAAACAUAAUCGGUGAGCUAACUGCAAUCAGGAGCACUAAUAAUGAUACACACGGGUCACAGCGCGUAAUGCUUACUCUUUGCAUAGAGAGUUAUAUCACCGUGUCAUUAGCAUCUUCGAUGCCUUAGCCCUUGCAUUUUAUAACAAACUCGAGAGCUACGGGACGGAACCAACAAUUGUACUUGUCACCAGCAUAAAUCCGAAAAUUGUUGGAGGUCGAUUGUUAAUGUCACAUCUGGAACACAUCUUUACUUCGACACAGAGACCGCUGUUGGAAAAGAAAAGAUUGACAAGC